rnacentral:ncRNA from 1 species
UGUCUUCGGGGCGGAGUGAAAUUCUCCACCGGCGGUGAGCGGAAAUAUUUCCGUAAGUCCGCGAACAGGUGUUAAGCCUGCCGAGCCUGUGAGAUUCAGGCACCGACGGUUAUAGUCCGGAUGAAAGAAGAUG